UGGAUUGUUGCUGGCCUUUGGGUAUGUGCACAUCCUCCUCCGAUUUCUAUUCAUCCACCUGUGCACUUUUUGUAGGAGUUCUUUCAUCGGGUUUUUGAAGGUGCUCAUUAUGAGUUACUUGAAAAGACUAGUUGACAAGGCUUCUAUGUUCUUAUAAACCAUUGAAGUAUGUUAUAGAAUGAUCUUGUUAUUGGGACUUUAUUGACCCUUUAAACUUAAUACAACUUUCAGCAACGGAUCUCUUGGCUCUCCCAUCGAUGAAGAACGCAGCGAAAUGCGAUAAGUAAUGUGAAUUGCAGAAUUCAGUGAAUCAUCGAAUCUUUGAACGCACCUUGCGCCCUCUGGUAUUCCGGAGGGCAUGCCUGUUUGAGUGUCAUUAAAUUCUCAACUUUAUAAGUUUUUUACUUAUUAAAGCUUGGAUGUUGGAGGCUUGCAGGCGUUUGUCAGCUCCUCUUAAAUUUAUUAGUGGGAACCCUGUUUUGUUAGUUCUAACCUUGGUGUGAUAAUUAUCUACAUUUUGGUGGAACCUUACAAUAAUAAAGCUCUAUUGGUUUGGGUUGUUGCAUUUAGUUUGCUCAAUCUGUUCUAUUCAUUGGAGAAAAAGGGAAGUUCUGCUUUCUAACUGUCUUGAUUGACUAUAUAUAACUUA
rnacentral:rRNA from 1 species